rnacentral:tRNA from 1 species
CGGCCGCGGCGAGCGGGUCGAGCCGGUGCCGGCGCUCGUGCCGCUGGCGGCGGUGAUCGCCUGUCCUGCCGUCGGCCUCUCGACGGCGGCCGUC